UCACACAAAGUACUCCACCAUCUUCUCUUGGCCUAUCUUCCUGAUAUCAACAACAUGAAGCUGUUAGCUCUUCUUCUUCUCAUCCUAUUGAUGGUGAACCUGUGCGUUGCCGUGCAAAGGAAAGCUCUGAUCAGUGAAGCAAAUGGGCAGGAACAGCAACAAGAAAGAAAGAAUCAAGUAGGAGGAAAGGAUGAUAAGAACAGCAUUUCUGGGUACUACGGAAGCGGUAUCAACAACCACCACAGUAUACCUAGGCAAGAUUUUAACAACUAUGGCAACAGCCCUAGUAAUGGAGAUGAAGGUAAUAACACGGGAAACAAUGCGGAUGAUAGAGACUGAUAAACGGACUUGUGCUAGCUCUUCUUUGAUAUGGGUAUUGCUUGCAUAAACAUUAUACGAGUUUGAUUAGUGAUGUUGUAUUGUAAGAUGUUAAGGACUGUAAGCAGAUUAUAAAUAGUAAUACAUGUUAUGAAGCAGAGCAUAUAUGACUUACAUUUCAAUGGAGUCUGAGAAGGAUCCAAUAAACAAAGCAGUUGGAGCAAGGAAAUCUACGUUUUCUC